rnacentral:rRNA from 1 species
AGUGAACGCUGGCGGUAGGCCUAACACAUGCAAGUCGAACGGCAGCACAGUAAGAGCUUGCUCUUACGGGUGGCGAGUGGCGGACGGGUGAGGAAUACAUCGGAAUCUACUUUUUCGUGGGGGAUAACGUAGGGAAACUUACGCUAAUACCGCAUACGACCUACGGGUGAAAGCAGGGGAUCUUCGGACCUUGCGCGAUUGAAUGAGCCGAUGUCGGAUUAGCUAGUUGGCGGGGUAAAGGCCCACCAAGGCGACGAUCCGUAGCUGGUCUGAGAGGAUGAUCAGCCACACUGGAACUGAGACACGGUGCAGACUCCUACGGGAGGCAGCAGUGGGGAAUAUUGGACAAUGGGCGCAAGCCUGAUCCAGCCAUACCGCGGGGGUGAAGAAGGCCUUCGGGUUGUAAAGCCCUUUUGUUCGGAAAGAAAAGCAGCAGGUUAAUACCCCGCUGUUCUGACGGUACCCAAAGAAUAAGCACCGGCUAACUUCGUG